AAACUGCCAAUCCAUCCCUCCACCUUCAGGUCCCCUUCCCAUCCCCACGUCCCCACCCACAAGUCUGUUUUCUCUGUCUGUACCACAGAUAAUCUUGAAUUUCAGUGGCUGCAGUGGAGAAAUUUGAACCAUCUUACUUUUGAUUUAUUCUUAUUCUCGAUACAGCUUUGUAGCAAUGCCACAUACCUUCUUAAAAAACAAAUGAUUGGCACCCAAGUGCAGAGCGGUGAGCUGCACACACGUGCAUCCCUGCGCGCUGGCUGCAGGAGCAACAGGAGGCUGUACUCUGAAGAGUCUUUUCUGGCCUCUCCGUUCACCUCCAGGCAGUGACUCAGGAACACAGAGAUCUGGGCACCACUCGAACGAGGAAUUCCUGGUCAGAGACAGAAACUAUAGUUGGCCCAAAGCUCUUGGCACAAAUGUUUUAAAACUGUUGUUGAGGUGGGAGAGAGGCCAAGACGACAGAGGAGAUGGACUUUGACCACACCUCCUUUCAGGAACACACCAAAAUCACAGCUGCUGAACAAACAUUUCCCAGACUAGCAGAGAAGAACAAAAUACUUCAUGCAGCGUAUGCUUCACAAAAAGAAGACGACAGUUACAGGUUCCUGGGUACAGGCGGGUUUAUCGCUUGAGAGGGAACCAGGACCCUUCCCCAAGGCUGGACUAUUAUGUCUUUUGACUGUUCCUCCC
ensembl:lncRNA